AGAGAGAGGAGGAAAAAGAAAGAAGAAAGUCACAGCAAGCCAGGCUAGAAUUCUGUAUGCAGCCAGUACAGAUUUCCAUUUUUACUCCGUAUUCGCUCUUCUCCAUUUUUACUUGUUUUUUCUACU
rnacentral:ribozyme from 1 species